GACAUACUCCCUCCAUCCGAAAAUACUUGUCAUCAAAAUGGAUAAAAAGAGAUGUAUCUAGAACUAAAAUACAUCUAGAUACAUCCCCUUUUAUUCAUUUUGAUGAAAAGUAUUUCCGGACGGAGGGAGUAUUUU
rnacentral:pre_miRNA from 1 species